rnacentral:piRNA from 1 species
CAUUUGAAAUACUUAGGCUGCUGA